GCGCCGAUAGCUCAGCCGGUCAGAGCAGGGGACUCAUAAUCCCUGGGUCGUGGGUUCGAGCCCCACUCGGCGCACCC
rnacentral:tRNA from 1 species